AUUGAACGCUGGCGGCAUGCCUUACACAUGCAAGUCGAACGGCAGCACGGGAGCAAUCCUGGUGGCGAGUGGCGAACGGGUGAGUAAAGUAUCGGAACGUGCCCAGUCGUGGGGGAUAACGUAGCGAAAGUUACGCUAAUACCGCAUACGAUCUAUGGAUGAAAGCGGGGGAUCGCAAGACCUCGCGCGAUUGGAGCGGCCGAUAUCAGAUUAGGUAGGUGGUGGGGUAAAGGCUCACCAAGCCGACGAUCUGUAGCUGGUCUGAGAGGACGACCAGCCCCACUGGGACUGAGGCACGGCCCAGACUCCUACCGGAGGCAGCAGUGGGUAAUUUUGGACAAUGGGCGAAAGCCUGAUCCAGCCAUGCCGCGUGCAGGAUGAAGGCCUUCGGGUUGUGAACUGCUUUUGUACGGAACGAAAAGGUUUGGCCUAAUAAGCUGAGCUCAUGACGGUACCGUAAGAAUAAGCACCGGCUAACUACGUGCCAGCAGCCGCAGUAA
rnacentral:rRNA from 1 species